AAUGAACGUUGGCGGCGUGGAUUAGGCAUGCAAGUCGAACGCCCCGCAAGGGGAGUGGCGCAAGGGUGAGUAAGGCGACGGUAACCAACCUCGCGGACGGGCAUAGCCGGGGGAAACCCCGGGUAAUUCCCGGCGACGCGGAUGUCCGGCAUCGGAUGUCCGCCAAAGGCCUCGGCCGCCGGGAGACGGGCCGUCGUGGUAUUAGGUCGUUGGUGGGGUGACGGCCCACCAAGCCUGCGAUGCCUACCGGGUGUGCGAGCAUGGCCCGGCACACUGGGACUGAGACACUGCCCAGACUCCUACGGGAGGCUGCAGUCGAGAAUCUUCGGCAAUGGGCGCAAGCCUGACCGAGCGACGCCGCGUGGAGGACGAAGGCCUUCGGGUUGUAAACUCCUGUCGAGGGGGAGGAAGGCGCGGCAACGCGCUUGACCGAUCCCUGGAGGAAGCACGGGCUAAGUUCGUGCCAGCAGCCGCAGUAAAAC
rnacentral:rRNA from 1 species